AUUGAACGCUGGCGACAGGCCUAACACAUGCAAGUCGAGCGGAUGAAGGGAGCUUGCUCCUGGAUUCAGCGGCGGACGGGUGAGUAAUGCCUAGGAAUCUGCCUUGUAGUGGGGGAUAACGUCCGGAAACGGGCGCUAAUACCGCAUACGUCCUGAGGGAGAAAGUGAUGGAUCUUCGGACCUCACGCUAUCAGAUGAGCCUAGGUCGGAUUAGCUAGUUGGUGGGGUAAAGGCCUACCAAGGCGACGAUCCGUAACUGGUCUGAGAGGAUGAUCAGUCACACUGGAACUGAGACACGGUCCAGACUCCUACGGGAGGCAGCAGUGGGGAAUAUUGGGCAAUGGGCGAAAGCCUGAUGCAGCCAUGCCGCGUGUGUGAAGAAGGUCUUCGGAUUGUAAAGCUCUGUAAGUUGGGAGGAAGGGCAGUAAGUUAAUACCUUGCUGUUUUGACGGUACCUACAGAAUAAGCACCGGCUAACUACGUG
rnacentral:rRNA from 1 species